rnacentral:rRNA from 1 species
AUGCACGCUGGCGGCGUGCCUAAUACAUGCAAGUCGAGCGAACGGACGAGAAGCUUGCUUCUCUGAUGUUAGCGGCGGACGGGUGAGUAACACGUGGAUAACCUACCUAUAAGUCUGGGAUAACUUCGGGAAACCGGAGCUAAUACCGGAUAAUAUUUUGAACCGCAUGUUUCAAAAGUGAAAGACGGUCUUGCUGUCACUUAUAGAUGGAUCCGCGCUGCAUUAGCUAGUUGGUAAGGUAACGGCUUACCAAGGCAACGAUGCAUAGCCGACCUGAGAGGGGGAUCGGCCACACUGGAACUGAGACACGGUCCAGACUCCUAAGGGAGGCAGCAGUAGGGAAUCUUCCGCAAUGGGCGAAAGCCUGACGGAGCAACGCCGCGUGAGUGAUGAAGGGCCUCGGAUCGUAAAACUCUGUUAUUAGGGAAGAACAUAUGUGGAAGUAACUGUGCACAUCUUGACGGUACCUAAUCAGAAAGCCACGGCUAACUACGUG